rnacentral:tRNA from 1 species
UCCCUGGUGGCUCAGAUGGUAAAGAACCUGCUUGCAAUGCAGGAGACCCGGGUUCAGUCCCUGGGUUGGGAA